UACGUAGGGUGCGAGCGUUAAUCGGAAUUACUGGGCGUAAAGCGUGCGCAGGCGGUUCGUUGUGUCGGCGGUGAAAGCCCCGGGCUCAACCUGGGAAUGGCCGUUGAAACUGGCGAACUGGAGUGUGGCAGAGGGGGGUGGAAUUCCGCGUGUAGCAGUGAAAUGCGUAGAGAUGUGGAGGAAUACCGAUGGCGAAGGCAGCCUCCUGGGCCAACACUGACGCUCAUGCACGAAAGCGUGGGGGGCAAACAGG
rnacentral:rRNA from 1 species